CACAAGACGAUGAUAAGAAGAGUAGUGAAUACAAAAGCAUAUAGAGAGCCAGGGUAGGUGAAAGCUGGUUGCGGAAGUAUUUAUGAACAUGGCCUUUGAGUCUGUUUCUUGAGCAAAACUUGUUAGAGAAACAUGGUUUCAACCAUUAAAUUGAAAGCAGUCCCAUGUAUAUGGUGCUGUUAUUGAGGCAUAUACGGCGACGUAUAUGCAAAGUUAGAGUGGUAACGUGUAUAUUCACCUCUAUG
rnacentral:ncRNA from 1 species